rnacentral:rRNA from 1 species
GAUGAACGCUGGCGGCGUGCUUAACACAUGCAAGUCGAACGAAGCACUUUAUUUGAUUUCCUUCGGGACUGAUUAUUUUGUGACUGAGUGGCGGACGGGUGAGUAACGCGUGGGUAACCUGCCUUGUACAGGGGGAUAACAGUUGGAAACGGCUGCUAAUACCGCAUAAGCGCACAGCAUCGCAUGAUGCAGUGUGAAAAACUCCGGUGGUAUAAGAUGGACCCGCGUUGGAUUAGCUAGUUGGUGAGGUAACGGCCCACCAAGGCGACGAUCCAUAGCCGACCUGGGGGGGUGACCGGCCACAUUGAGACUGAGACACGGCCCAAACUCCUACGGGAGGCAGCAGUGGGGAAUAUUGCACAAUGGGCGAAAGCCUGAUGCAGCGACGCCGCGUGAGCGAAGAAGUAUUUCGGUAUGUAAAGCUCUAUCAGCAGGGAAGAUAAUGACGGUACCUGACUAAGAAGCACCGGCUAAAUACGUG